rnacentral:lncRNA from 1 species
CUGGGGGCCCUGUGGGUUCUCCAUGUCGUCUUCGAAAUCGAACUCAUCGCCACGACCUUGCCUUGUUUGCUUCUGCAUCCAUCUCUGGCAAGCUCUUAGGUGCUGUGAUUGCUGGAACUCCUUCUGGCAUCUCUGUCUUGGGCCCAUGGGGUUGGUGGCGUCAUCUUCCUCGAACUCGACGACUGUGCGGUAGAUGGAAGCGUUGGUGAGGAGGAAGCAGAGGGCGAGAGUUGCGCAGACGAGGAAGAGCUUGUUUGCCAUUUUUUGCUAUUUGUGUAUGUUUUCUUGUUUUGGUUUGAGUGAAGAGUGUAGUGAAGGGUUGGUUUUUAUUUAUAGGUGACAAAGGAGAUUUGCAUGGCAAUCACGUGUAAGAAUGCAUGAGUGUGUGUGGAGUCAUGGAGAGAGAGAUUCUCUUACGUUGUUGUCGGGAUUAGGUGUUGGAAAAGAGUGACAAGUGACGAACAAUACCACUCCUAGGCUCCUAGCUCCGCUUCUGCAUGCUAUGUGUGAUUUGUAGCUCAUUUUCUGACAUGACAUUAUGAACGAUUAUAUUUUUUAGAAUUAAGAAGGUAAAACUUUUUUAGUAAAACACACUUUUAAUUUGGUUUUGAUCGAAUGAGAUGCGAAUUCAAUCUUUUGGUGGUAGUGCUGUUGGAAAUAUAGUUUUGUGAGCUUAAUCAGAAACUUAGAAUUUUAAAAUAAAUCUAUAUAGUCACGCAGGCCCGGCUCACUCAUCGGUAAGACCCGGUGCCAUACAAAAAAAAAUCUUAUCUUUAAUAAAAAAUUUAUAUAUAUAUAUAUAUAUAUAUAUUUACAAAAAGUUAUAUUUCAUAAAUUAUUUUGUAUUUUAUAGCUAUUUGGACAUGUUAUUUUUGUUUAUUAAUUUUGGGGCUCAAUAUUACCUUUUAAAAUAAAAUUUUGGGACCUUUACAUAUGGAUAUUGUAUAAAAUUUCAGCAUAAUUAAAUAAUUAAAUAAUAAAAAAACUAUGAAUUUGGACCUUAAAUUUGUUGGACCCGGUGCAAAUGCACCACUUGCACAUGCCAAUAACCGGCCCUGUAGUCACGGUUCACGAACCAUGUAAUAAAAUUUUAUAAAAUAUGAGGGAUAUAUAUUAAAAAAAAAUUCAUAAAUAUUUAACCCUCUAAAUGACUCGUACAAAAAAUACAAACAAUAAGUAAUUUAUCUCUUACAUAAAAUCAGUGGUAAUAAAUUAAAGUUAAGAAAUAAAACCGAAAUAUGUGAGACACACACAUAAUUAGAGGUGUCAAAAACUCAAAAUGCGUCAAAAUUAAACUUAUAGAUUUACCAAAACAUUAUAACCCAAACCGUGAACUACAAGUCAAAGAAAGUAUCAGGAACCAUGUUUUGACUGAAAAUUCAAAAGAGAGAGAUGAAGAGAAUGAGAAGAAGAUAUACAAAAUAUUUUACGAAUUCUGAAUCGAGAGUUAGUACAUCGACUAGUUCAAUCUAGCAAUUACUAUGUUUUUCAUUUCAAAGAGUUAGAAUGACUCAAAGAUAUGAAUGAUACAAAAUCCGAUCCAUAAGACCCAUUAUAUUCUCGAACUUUCCAACCACGUUUAGCUUAAACCAAAGUAAACCCUUUCAAAACCAGACUAAUGGCUCUUUCAGAAAUCUGCAUGCAGCUCUUAACCAGAACUAAUUGUGUUCCCAGAACAACAUCAACACGUUUUUACAAGACAUUGUUUUCUCUGUUUGUUUGAUUGGUAACGUUUUACACUCUUGACCACAAUGGCUAGCCCUUUUUUACAACAAUUGUUAGCGACUAUCGGUCAAACCGAUCAUGUAUGUAAAUUAUAUCAUUUUUGAAUUUCGCUUCCACGGGAUCAUAUCUAAUGUACAAUUAAAUGGCAUGUCUCUUCCACUUGAUGGCGUGCAAAUUCUUGAGGCCAAAAUAGAUAUUAAAACGCACGUGGUAGGGCGGUGGUAACUGGGACUAUGGUGUAAAUACAGACCAGCAUGAUGCUUCAUUCUUAUAGAGAACAAAUUUUCUGCGUGUUGGAUCACUUGGAACUGUGCUUUGGUCAAGUGUUUUAUCCAUGGUGUAGUUUGCCGCACACUCUUGCAAACAAAUUAUUCACCCUUGAAAGUAGUCAGCGCAUAGCCCUAAGUUUUAGUAUGUGUGCAGUGCCGGUCCGGUGAAAUCCGGGGCCAAAUACGAAAAGAAAAAUUGGGGUUUUUUUUAAAAGUAGAAACUGCUAAAAAAUUUUUUUUUGCUAAUUAUGGAGCAUUUAUAAUUUUUAUUUAACAAUUUUUCUUAAAUUUUAAAGAUUUUUUGCUAAUUAUGAGGCCUUUUUGCUAAUUGUGAAGUCUUUUUUUGUUAAUUUUUGAGGCCUCUUUUACUAUUUUGAAGCUUUUUUUUGUUAAUUUUUGAGGCCUCUUUUACUAAUUUUGAAGUCUAUUUCAUAAUUUUAGGGCCUCAAAAAAAAAAAAAAAAAAUUCUUCACAAAAUGAGCCUCGAAAAUUUGAGACCCAAUACAAAUGAUUCACCAAAAUGGGUGAAGGGCCGGGCCUGUAUGUGUACGCGCGAGUCGGUGACUGAACACCAAGUGCUAUACCAAGAAAGAAAUAGCUAGCAUGCAAAAAUGUUCUUUGCAUAUAUCAUAUCAUGCCUGGGCAUUCGGAUUUCAGAUCGGAUUCGGUUCGGAUUUAUUCGGAUUCAGAUAAUUCGGGUAGGAGAUUUUAUUAUCCGUUCGGAUUUUAUGACUAUUCGGAUCGGAUUCGGUUCGGAUAGUAUCGGAUUCGGAUCGGUUUCAGAUCGGUUUUGGAUUGUUUUUCGAGUAAAAAAAACUAAAAAAUGUUCAAUUCAAAUAAAAAAAUAGUUUAAUCUUACUAAAAUUUGGCUAAGUUUUCCAAAAAUAUGUAUAAUUUUAACAAAUAUAACUAAAAACUUUCUGAUAUCUAGGUUAUUUAGGAUAUUUUUGUUAUUUGUUAUAAAAUUAUAGCUAAAUAUAACUAAUAUUUUUGGAUAUAUAAUUUUAUUUUCGGUUUUCGGAUAUCCUUUCGGUUUUCGGUUCAGAUGUGGUUCGAUUCGGAUAAUUCGGAUAGGAGAAUUCAUUAUCUGUUCGGGUUUUGUGACUAUUUGGUUCGGAUUCGGAGCCAGAUUUUUUGGAUCGGUUUCGGAUUGGUUUUCGGAUUUUAUGCCCAGGCCUAAUCAUAUGGAUAAAUGUUUAAUACUUAAGAGUUGAUAAGAUGAUCUAGAAUUAGUUGCAAAUUAUCUUCACCAUAUCUUCAGUUGUGAGAAACAUAUAAUUGAUUGUUAGAGCCUAGAGGGGCACAGUCAUAGAGCAGUUUUUAAUUGGUAUUUUGCUUAACCUGUAAAUUUGAUUGAAAAAUAUUUCGGACCACCUAGAGAGAGCGUAUGCAAGUGAAAAUUAAACAUAAACAAAACUCUUAUUUAUUAAGGACUUGUGCUAAUUACAUUAAUCUCAAACAUCCAAAACUUACAUUUUCAUAAAACACACGAUGAGGUGUGGUGUUAACAUGUAUCAACAACCACACGCUCAUACGCUCGAUGGUUUUGUUUGGAAUCUAGUAGUAAGGAGGGAAGAAGGGGAUGGUGGUCUGGAAGGGGCAUUCACCAACUUGCUGGAUCCUGCAAACCUUAGGCAAGUACUUAGCUGUCUGGUAAAUUUUCCUGGAUUGGAAUGGUCCGUGCUGUCCCUGGAGUCUAACGGCUCUAGCCGCCUGUUUCAAGGUGGGGCAAACGCAAACUGGCUCUUCCUGGCGAAGCUCGUUGCAGCACUGCUGGAGUAGCUGGUGUCCCUGCUGGGGGCCCUGUGGGUUCUCCAUAUCGUCUUCGAAAUCGAACUCAUCUUCACCACCACGACCUUGCCUUGUUUGCUUCUGCAUGAAUCUCUGGCAAGCUCUUAGGUGCUGUGAUUGCUGGAACUCCUUCUGGCAUCUCUGUCUUGGGCCCAUGGGGUUGGUGGCGUCAUCUUCGUUGAACUCGACGACGGUGCGGUAGAUGGAAGCGUUGGUGAGGAGGAAGCAGAGGGCGAGAGUUGCGCAGACGAGGAAAAGCUUGUUCGCCAUUUG